ACAUCAGUAUCUCUCAUUUCGGGCAAACCGGUAAAAAAGAUAUUAUCUUUCAUUUUGGGGGCAACGACUUUUGUCCAAAUUUUCGGGUCCGCCUACCACCUGGUAACUGUUCCGUUCUCACUUUCUUCGCUGCGAGCGUUGGCACGCAACGACAUUCUAGAUGCGGAGGUAGAUUCUUUGGAUACCGGUGUCAGGGAGCGUGAGCUGACAGAAAGUGUAAGCCUGCACGUGCGCAGGUUAACCGCUCGACCACACAAGCCAGGAUCACAUGUACAGUGCCAAGUCCAAAACAACCCUGCCACCAAACCCUGCGAGAGGAUUUCUCCAACAAUAAAAACCACAACAAGGUUGGUGGCACUGGCAACAAAUCUUUGCAAUCUCCACGGCAAACAACCUUGUCCGGAUCGAAAGAACGAAAAAAAAAUUGUCAACAAAUAUUAUUUAUCACACAUCGAAGAGUUCAUCAGGUUUUACGGAUCAGUUCAUCACGCUGCUGCGCUUUCUAACAUCAUCAGCAGCAGCAGACAGCAGAGCAGCGUAUGUACAGCAUCAUCAUCAGUUCAUGAAUCAGAGAAGUUACAGAGAGAUUCUUCACAUUAGUAUCAUCGAGAAUCAUCAAGGAUUUCAGAUUGGUACCCAAUGGAACGGUGGGGGGGGGGGGGGGGGGGGGGGGGGGGGGGUUGUACAUCAUCACGGCCGGGAAACCCCUGACGGUAUCCAAGGGAUUAAGACGUACCAAAUUCCCCUAUCACCUGGCGGCGGCGGGCGAGGGGGCAGGGGCGCAGCGGGCGGAGGGGGACGAGGGGGGCGAGGGGGCAGGGAAGCCGCGGGCGGAGGCGGAAGAAGCGCAGUAGCGGGCGGACGGAGCGGGUCGCUGUCGGCGGAGGUCGGCGGGUUGGUGGAGGCGGCGCCGGGCCCGCGGAUGCGGAGGCGCGCGGCGUCGUACGCGGCCGCAGCCUCCUCGGCGGUGUCGAAGGUGCCGAGCCAGACGCGGCGGCCGCGCUGUGGAUCGCGAAUCUCCGCCGCGAAUUUGCCCCACGGCCGCCGCCGCACGCCCCUGAACCGCACCCCCUCCACCGC
rnacentral:lncRNA from 1 species